rnacentral:rRNA from 1 species
UACGAAGGGGGCUAGCGUUGCUCGGAAUCACUGGGCGUAAAGGGUGCGUAGGCGGGUCUUUAAGUCAGGGGUGAAAUCCUGGAGCUCAACUCCAGAACUGCCUUUGAUACUGAAGAUCUUGAGUUCGGGAGAGGUGAGUGGAACUGCGAGUGUAGAGGUGAAAAUUCGUAGAUAUUCGCAAGAACACCAGUGGCGAAGGCGGCUCACUGGCCCGAUACUGACGCUGAGGCACGAAAAGCGUGGGGGAGCAAACAGGGAUUAAGAAAACCCGGGU